GUGUGUGUGUGUUUGAGUUGAUGAAGCUGUUGUGUUGUGUUGUCAGGAGCUGAGCUGAGGUCAGCGCAGGAGAGAACGCCUGUGAACACUAGACCUGUCGCUCCUUACCCUGCUGUCAGAAAGUGUUUUGCGGAGAAAAGAAAACCGCUGAAAUGCAGAAAGGUGACGUUCAGUGACAUCGUGAGCGUCCGGAACCUGUCGAGCCACAAGCGAGUUCAGAUUGAGCGGCGGGAAAACCGGGAUCUUCCGGACGGAAGCGGAUCCUCAGAGAAUCCUGUGAGGUUCUUCGACUUUGCAGAUGCGUGUGAGAGAGAAGCCUUUCUCCACAGACGGAAACAAACACACUCGUUCAUGUUUCCCGCCAAACCGAUCGUGUCCAGCCGCUGCGGGCUCUGACCAGCAGAGGGCGCCGCUGUCGUCAUCAGAG